ensembl:lncRNA
AUUUAGUCAGGGUGCUCACCUCCUCUCUGUAGGCCGUCUCAUCGUUGUCGGUGAUCAGGCCUAUCACCGUUGUGUCAUCAGCGAAUUUGAUGAUGACGUUGGAGCUGUGUGUGGCUGUACAGUCAUGUGUGUACAGGGAGUACAGGAGCGGGCUGAGGACACAGCCCUGAGGAGCACCAGUGUUGAGGGUCAGCGGGGAUGAAGUGUUGUUGCCCAUUCUGACCACCUGGCUUCUGCCUGUUAGGAAGUCCAGGAUCCAGCUGCACAGAGAUCUGUUUAGUCCCAGAGUCUGGAGCUUCGCAACAAGUGUGGCAGGCACUAUGGUGUUAAAUGCUGAGCUGUAGUCCACAAACAGCAUUCUCACAUAGGUGUUCUUAUUUUCCAGGUGGGAAAAUAUCACCCCAAUCUUGAAUCUGUGACUGGAUGUAUCAAAAUGUUACAAUUUUGGUAUGAACUCUUUUUCCACCCACAAAGUCAUUUUGAACUAUACAGUAUAGUUAUGCCAUUUUUUCCCCACACCAAACACACGUUUGUUUAUUUCUUUAUUAUUUUAUUUAUUUAUUUCAGGUGAUUGUGACAGGGGACAAUGGACAAUUAAAUGGUGUCCCAUCUGUGUCUGUGGGGGCCACUCAGAUGUUACUACCUCAUGGUCAGUUGCUGAAUGCAGCAAAAUCAUCAGGUGUCUUUGUGGAAAAAAGACAUCAGCCAAUCAUCACAUCCAUAAAAGACAGUGAUGGCACUCAUAAUUUAGCUGCAGUGGCAGUUCAGAAUGUCACUGGUAUUAAAAUUUAGAAGAGCAGAAGAUCGGAGGUUCGGAGGACACUGAUUACUGUAACACAGAGGCAGAGCUGGAGGCCAUUCUGAUUCUACACAAGCAGCAGACUCACAUGGUGUUCGGCACCCAUCAGUCACCCUCACCAGCUAAACCUGCCACCAGUCUCAUGUGGAAAUCACGUAUGCUCACAAAGUCAAUAUCUAUAGUUUUUAACAUGGUGUUAAGGAAGCAGAGCUAUAGUGAUGGAAUGCCAGUUUGGUCCACGGAGGAAGGAAGUCCAACCUAAAAAAGGUUCUGAGCUUUUUUUUAUAUUUUCAAAUCUUUUCAAUAAAAAGUAGAUAUAUGACUAAAAAGCA